rnacentral:rRNA from 1 species
UUUAUCUUACGGGGUAGGGGAGCGUUCUGUAAGCCUGUGAAGGUGUAUCGUAAGGUAUGCUGGAGGUAUCAGAAGUGAGAAUGCUGACAUGAGUAGCGAUUAGAAGGGUGAGAAUCCCUUCCGCCGAAAUCCCAAGGGUUCCUGUUCUAUGCUGUUCAGAGCAGGGUGAGUCGGUACCUAAGGCGAGGCCGAAAGGCGUAGUCGAUGGCAAACAGGUUAAUAUUCCUGUACCAAGUAGGAAGGACGGAGAAGGUUAGGUCAGCUGGCUGUUGGAUAUGCCAGUGCAAGCGUAUAGCAUAGUUUACUAUGUAAGGCGUGAUGAUGAGGCACUUGUGCCGAAGUGAUUGAUACCAGCUUCCAGGAAAAGCUCCUACAAUAUAGGCCGUACCCCAAACCAACACAGGUGGGAUGGUAGAGUAUACCAAGGCGUUGAGAGAACCAUGCCUAAGGAACUCGGCAAAAUGCAUCCGUAACUUCGGGAGAAGGAUGACCGAGAUAAUGUGAAUCCCCUUGCGGGAGUAGCAGUAACCGGUGGCACAGAAACGGGGGUAACGACUGUUUAUUAAAAACACAGGUCUAUGCAAAAUCGAAAGAUGAAGUAUAUGGACUGACGCCUGCCCGGUGCUGGAAGGUUAAAUUGAGCUGUGCAAGCAGUGAUAUGAAGCCCCAGUAAACGGCGGCCGUAACUAUAACGGUCCUAAGGUAGCGAAAUUCCUUGUCGGGUAAGUUCCGACCCGCACGAAUGGCGUAACGAUUUCCCCACUGUCUCGGGUGUGGACUCAGCGAAAUUGAACUCUGAGUGAAGAUGCUCAGUAGCCGCGGCUAGACGGAAAGACCCCGUGCACCUUUACUAUAGGUUCGCAUUGAUGUUAGGGCUAACAUGUGCAGGAUAGGUGGGAAACUUUGAAAUGUAGUCGCCAGAUUACAUGGAGUUGUCCUUGAGAUACCACCCUUGUUAUCUUUGACAUCUAACCAAGACCAGUUAUCCUGGUCUGAGACAGUGCGUGCUGGGUAGUUUGACUGGGGCGGUCGCCUCCUAAAGAGUAACGGAGGCGUGCAAAGGUUGGCUCAGAGCGGUCGGAAAUCGCUCGACGAGUAUAAUGGCAAAAGCCAGCCUGACUGCGAGACAGACACGUCAAGCAGGUACGAAAGUAGGUCAUAGUGAUCCGGUGGUCCCGAAUGGAAGGGCCAUCGCUCAACGGAUAAAAGGUACGCCGGGGAUAA